rnacentral:rRNA from 1 species
CUACGGGUGGCUGCAGUGGGGAAUAUUGGACAAUGGGGGCAACCCUGAUCCAGCCAUGCCGCGUGUGUGAAGAAGGCCUUUUGGUUGUAAAGCACUUUAAGCAGGGAGGAGAGGCUAAUGGUUAAUACCCAUUAGAUUAGACGUUACCUGCAGAAUAAGCACCGGCUAAAUCUGUGCCAGCAGCCGCGGUAAUACAGAGGGUGCGAGCGUUAAUCGGAAUUACUGGGCGUAAAGCGAGUGUAGGUGGCUCAUUAAGUCACAUGUGAAAUCCCCGGGCUUAACCUGGGAACUGCAUGUGAUACUGGUGGUGCUAGAAUAUGUGAGAGGGAAGUAGAAUUACAGGUGUAGCGGUGAAAUGCGUAGAGAUCUGGAGGAAUACCGAUGGCGAAGGCAGCUUCCUGGCAUAAUAUUGACACUGAGAUUCGAAAGCGUGGGUAGCAAACAGGAUUAGAUACCCGCGUAGUC